rnacentral:rRNA from 1 species
AAGGUGGCCUGUGAGGGUUGCUGGAGGUAUCAGAAGUGCGAAUGCUGACAUAAGUAACGAUAAAGCGGGUGAAAAGCCCGCUCGCCGGAAGACCAAGGGUUCCUGUCCAACGUUAAUCGGGGCAGGGUGAGUCGACCCCUAAGGCGAGGCCGAAAGGCGUAGUCGAUGGGAAACGGGUUAAUAUUCCCGUACUUGGUGUUACUGCGAAGGGGGGACGGAGAAGGCUAUGUUGGCCGGGCGACGGUUGUCCCGGUUUAAGCGUGUAGGUGUGUGUUCCAGGUAAAUCCGGUUCACUUUAACACUGAGGCGUGAUGACGAGGCACUACGGUGCUGAAGCAACAAAUGCCCUGCUUCCAGGAAAAGCCUCUAAGCAUCAGGUAACAUCAAAUCGUACCCCAAACCGACACAGGUGGUCAGGUAGAGAAUACCAAGGCGCUUGAGAGAACUCGGGUGAAGGAACUAGGCAAAAUGGUGCCGUAACUUCGGGAGAAGGCACGCUGACACGUAGGUGAAGUGAUUUACUCAUGGAGCUGAAGUCAGUCGAAGAUACCAGCUGGCUGCAACUGUUUAUUAAAAACACAGCACUGUGCAAACACGAAAGUGGACGUAUACGGUGUGACGCCUGCCCGGUGCCGGAAGGUUAAUUGAUGGGGUCAGCGCAAGCGAAGCUCCUGAUCGAAGCCCCGGUAAACGGCGGCCGUAACUAUAACGGUCCUAAGGUAGCGAAAUUCCUUGUCGGGUAAGUUCCGACCUGCACGAAUGGCGUAAUGAUGGCCAGGCUGUCUCCACCCGAGACUCAGUGAAAUUGAACUCGCUGUGAAGAUGCAGUGUACCCGCGGCAAGACGGAAAGACCCCGUGAACCUUUACUAUAGCUUGACACUGAACAUUGAGCCUUGAUGUGUAGGAUAGGUGGGAGGCUUUGAAGCGUGGACGCCAGUCUGCGUGGAGCCGACCUUGAAAUACCACCCUUUAAUGUUUGAUGUUCUAACGUGGACCCGUGAUCCGGGUUGCGGACAGUGUCUGGUGGGUAGUUUGACUGGGGCGGUCUCCUCCUAAAGAGUAACGGAGGAGCACGAAGGUUGGCUAAUCCUGGUCGGACAUCAGGAGGUUAGUGCAAUGGCAUAAGCCAGCUUGACUGCGAGCGUGACGGCGCGAGCAGGUGCGAAAGCAGGUCAUAGUGAUCCGGUGGUUCUGAAUGGAAGGGCCAUCGCUCAACGGAUAAAAGGUACUCCGGGGAUAACAGGCUGAUACCGCCCAAGAGUUCAUAUCGACGGCGGUGUUUGGCACCUCGAUGUCGGCUCAUCACAUCCUGGGGCUGAAGUAGGUCCCAAGGGUAUGGCUGUUCGCCAUUUAAAGUGGUACGCGAGCUGGGUUUAGAACGUCGUGAGACAGUUCGGUCCCUAUCUGCCGUGGGCGCUGGAGAACUGAGGGGGGCUGCUCCUAGUACGAGAGGACCGGAGUGGACGCAUCACUGGUGUUCGGGUUGUCAUGCCAAUGGCACUGCCCGGUAGCUAAAUGCGGAAGAGAUAAGUGCUGAAAGCAUCUAAGCACGAAACUUGCCCCGAGAUGAGUUCU